CUCGUUUGGCAUCCUUCUUCCCUGUUCAUCUCCUCUCUCAGUUUUAUCCUCCAUCUUCAUCCUACCGUUAGCAGUUCUAUUCGUCGUCUCGUUUCGUUGGUCGGACGCGUACAGGUCGCUCGUUAAUUAGAAUGAGAGAGGCUAAUAGCAACUCGCUUGGCCACUCGAUUGUCAGACAAAGAAAAGAAACAACAAAGAACGGAUCUAGAUGAUAGACGAAGAAAGACACAAUCAGGUUACCCCCUUAUUCGAAUAAUUGUCACCUCCUGUCACCGUUCGUUUUUACGAAUCGUUCUCGACUGACAGACCCACAACUUUUUUCGUUUACAGCCCGUACAAGGAAGAAGUCCAUCGUAGAAUAGUUAUUAAGGUAGUCUAUGUUCACGAUCUUGAUAACCGCGAAGGAAUGCACAGCACGGGGUUAACGAAUUAAUGGUGGAAUACGCGCGGUCCAAAGUGGUCGUUUCUAAUGCAUGGUGAAAGAUUUUAAUCCGUGAAGAGGUCUCCACGUGCCAAAGAUCGUUGCCAUAGUGCUGGCAAUUAGUGGUGACCUCUGUAGAGAUUACAUUUGGUUACAUUGUUCGACAGCGUUUGACGUAUACGAUUAUUUUCGAUUUAACAUCUUUUUUCAGAUAAGACAGGUUUUUGAAUCUACGUGCCGGGAAAUGUGAUGCGACAACGAAUGUUCACGUUGUUCUUUUGCAUCGCAUCCACAGCAUGGAUUGCACCUAAUGAAAAUGUCGCGCACGAGACGAAGAUUAUAUUUUUGACUAUGAUAAUCAGGACGAUGCGAGACAAGGGUAGCAACCUAAUUUCCCACCACCUGCUCUUAUAUCCAAUGCGCGUUUUAUACGAACUAGAUGGAUUCUCAAAUUUCCUUGAAAGUUUAGAUAAUGUUACCGUGAAAUUUUUCAAAAUUGCUUCUUACGUGAUAUUUCAAUUUAUAAAAUAAAAAGCUAUUUUCUUUAAAUUUCCCAUAUGAAUGCAGCAUUAAAUUUAUAAUUUUUUUAUACACUUAAUGGAUGUCUUUAAACACAAUUUAAUAAAGUUAUUAGUAUAAAAUACUUCAGAAUGUUAAUUUUUCUAAGCAAAUAAUAUUUAAAUAUUGUUAAUCUUUUUUUAUAAUGUCUAAAAAUAUAUGGAAAUCAAUUUUGACAAAAAAUAAAAUAAAAUAUAAAAUAAAAAAGAAUGUGCUCGAAUGCGGGAGAAUGUGCAACGGUUGCUUUAUUAUCUCGCUCUCAUCCCUGAUACGUAAUAUUUCUCGCAUCAAAGUGCAUACGAUGGCGAAUAUGAUUAAGUGAUUCAUUUCCUCGUGUUAUUUAUUCGCCACAAUGUCGAUUGCGCUUUUCGAACUUAUAUAUCUGUUAGUAGUACUUGAAAAUGAUAAACAAAAGAAGAACCGAAAGCAAAAGCGAUUUCGAUUGGAAAAAUUCUUCGAAAAACGACAAAGAAGAUUAGUAUCUUUAGGUUAUUCCGAAUAAGUGCAACAGAGCAGAAUAAGUAUUUACCUUAAUCCGAUCAUAAUUUCACAAUAGAAUGAAAAAGAGAAAUUUUUAUCUUUUAGACAAAUUAGACUAUUCUUUUUAAAACUUUAUAAUAUUUUUUAAAAAGAUAAAAAAAAAAAGAAAAAAAAAUAUAUAGAUUUAUAUACUAUAUAACCUACGAUGUACGUACGGUUCACGAAUACAAAUGCGAUAUAGCCCGUGAAGCGUUACGCGAAAUGGAUGUUGUCAAGUUUCCCAAGAGUCGUUCGACGGAGAUCGAAGGUAAUAAAGAAAGGCACAUGAAAGAGACAUGGCGUCGACAUCCUGUUGGUCGAAUCCAAUCGUUGUUUCACUCAGAAAAAGAAAGCGAUAUAAGGGUUGAUACCUUUAUAAUAUAAUGACAUCGUAGUGCUAUAUACAGUUGCGAAGAACCCUUGUGUACAAAUAAAUAAGACAGCGUGCAAGUAAGUGCAGUACUAGCUUGAAGUAUGCGGGACGCUUGUGGUCUAUCUCUAACGUGCAAAUGGUGUGCUUCGAUGUGCGCGUCGACCACCCAAGGGUGCACAUACCUACACAUUUUAGAAAAAAGUGUAUGAGUACGGACCAGAAUAUUUACUUUGUAGAAGUUCAGGUAUGUACAUAUGUCUUUUAAUGCCGAAACAAACUAACUUUUGCUUGAGUGAGUUCCACCGGUCAUUUCGGCAGACAAUGAAAAAAUUAAUGGUAAACAUUUUUCCAUCAAUAAAAAAAUAUUCAUUCAUAAAUUCUAUCAAUAUAUUUAGAUAUUUUUAUCUUUUUUAAAAAUUAUAAUUGUAAUUAAUAUAAUAAUUAUAAAUCGAAACUUUGUGUAAUUAUUAAAAAAAAUUUAACAUUAUUUGAUGUAACAUUUUAUUACAGUUAGCGUAUAAAAUAAGAAAAUUAUGAAAUAAAAUGAUAUCUAUAUAAUUGAAAUAAAUACUAUUUUAAAUAAAAUAUUAGAUAUGAGAUAUUAUUUUCAAUCUAAAUAGUUUCAAGAGAAAAAUUGGAAUUUUUUUUUUUAUUAAAAAAUGUAGUCUUUUGUUUCUCGAACGACACAUCUUCACGAUAAGAUCCUGCUAAAAUAAGUGCACACACGUGUAGAAAUCCUGCGGGUGGGUUCAGCCCCAGCUAAGUAAGCGAGAUAUUUCCUUCUCUUUCUUAUAUAUGUGUAUGUAAGGGUGGGGAUCUCGCGCACACAUACCAAAGGAUUUGUUUAAGUAGGUAUGUACAAACGUAUCUUAGGUUAUAUGGGGUGUACAAUUCGAAAAUGUCAACUUGUAUUAGUAUAAUUUACUGCUUGAAGAAUGGACAAUUAGAAAGGCAAAAAUUUUAUAAAUAUACAAUUUAGAAAUCCCGGAAUUGAUAUUUAUGAUAAAGUCAUUUAUAAUAGAAUGAUUGGGAAAUUUUGCCAAAUACAAAAUAUUGUUUUAAACACAAAUAAUUUAUUUAUCUUAAUUUUUAAUAAAAAUUUAAUUGAUAAAUUUUAUUGUGUAAUAUUUAAUAGGUACAAGUUUUAAUCAAUAUUUUAUAAUAUUUAUAACUUUAAUUUCUAGUAUCAAGGAUUAAGAUACAAGAAAUGAAGUUAAAAUAUGUUGUGAAUGUUGUUCUUAAUUAAUCAGUAUAUAAAUCACAAAUGAGAUGGCAAGCUAAUUUUCGGACACCCUGUGUGCAUGUAACGCAGGCGCAGGCAGCUGUCACCUUACACCCAUGGAGGAGGCAUGGGCUGCGGCGGCCAUUCUCAACUUAUCUCUAGGAUCUUUGUAAACAUGUCGUGAAAUCCGAGUAUUCAAGCAGUGGCGUAGAUCGCGAGGUGGAAGGACCCAUCGAAGCGUUCUUGAAGGAAGAAUUAAAAUCUCCAGAGAGUAUGUUUGAGACUGCAACGUUGGGCGCACAAGGUUUCCUUGGCAACCAGAACCAUGGUGGCAACGUCACUAAAUGGAGCACAUCUUUGUUCCGUGCUAAUAAAAGGACUUCAAGACGUGCCACCAUCUUCUUUACCCUCUUCCUCAUCUCUUAGUCUUCCUGCUUAGGGCACUCAUCCUUCCGUUACUCUUCGUUGCGAUGAAAAUAUUCGUGGAGCUACAAUCAUUUGAUAAUAAUAGUUCGAUAUUUUUGUUUUAUUUAACGAUGAUUUUUCAAGAUUUUGUAAAUGUAUAAUAAAUUUACAUGUUAUUAUUUUUCUAAUGUAUUUUGUUUUUUCUAUUUUUUGAUUUAUAAAUUUUUAAUUAAAAAUUCUAUGAUAAAUACAUAAAUAAUAAUUAAUAUUUUACAAUGUAAUGUUAACAUAAUUAUAUUUAUAUCAUAAUCUUGAAUUACAUAAAAUAAUUUCAAAUCUUUUGCCA